GGCCCGUAGCUCAGUGGUAGAGCAUCUGCUUUGUAUGCAGAAGGUCCCAGGUUCAAUCCCUGGCAUCUCCA